CUAUUUAUGAUUCACUUAUGAUUCUGAACCAGAGGCAGCCAAAUCUAGUUAUAAGCAUCAAGAUUAGAAAUAGGUCAAAUAAUUAGUAAUAGUCUAAAAUGUUAGUAAGAAAAAUCCAAAAAAGACCAAACUAGAGGACUCAAAAAUAGAUAUAGAACAAUACUUCAGAUUUUGUCAUUUUGUCACCAUAUUUGUUAAAAUUUUGCUCGCAUCAUUACCCACUUCACAACCACAAAAUAGAGCUAUCUGCAAACAAGAAAACCUUAUGGCAUAUCGAUUAAGCAAAGGAGAACAGGAUUUCCCUUCCAGAGUAGGAUACAACACAUAUAACACAGACAUAGACAUUCACAAAAGAGUUGCACGGUUACACAUACAUCUGAUCAAGAAAAGAAAACGAGGGAAAAUCAAGUAAAGAAAGAAAAACACAAUAAGCAAGAAACUCGAGAUCUGAUCGGCAUUGGAUUGUAUGCAACUAGAAUAGCAUGCACAGCUUGUACUGGCAAUCAAUUAUCGGAUACCAAUUUUCCCAAAUGUAUUUUAAAGUUAAAGCUAAUGCAACUCAAUUGGUCAUUGUUUUCAUCCUUGAUUAUGAGCUUAAGCGUGUAAGAGCCCUGUAAAAACAAAACCGACCGCGUGAUAAAAAUGAAUUAUAAUGAAAUAGAGAGAGGUAUUGGCUUCAAUUGCAAUGUUGGAUAGCAGUAUAGUAGAGAGAUUUAAAAAAUAUUUGGUCUUUCAGAUAUAUUUUAUCCAUGAAAUAAAGAUUCAAUACUCAAAUGCAUCAUUUUCUUCAGAGCUACUGAUAUUUAACAAGCAAGUAAGCAAGCAAGCAGGGGUUUGGGCUUGGAGGAAUAAGAAAAACAAUCACAGGGUAUAAGCACAGAUGAAGACAAAAGCAAUAAAAUAAAGGAGAGAAGAAAACACUACAUGAAGAUAUUUAUGUAGUUCAACAAUUUGACUGCAUAUAGUGGUGCAGCUGCCAAUAAAUAAUACAGUAGUGUUUCUCCAAAUACAUCAGUACAUGAAAAAUCCAAACACCCUCCCAAAAUCAAAAUUAUAAUCAAAAUGACUUCUGGCUAUUCAUAUGAAAUCUUUCUUUCCUUUUAGCUUCAACUUUAAUACAUUCUUUGAAUAUGAGCCAUAAUCUUAACAGGAGACACGAAGGAAUUAGAACCCAAGAAGGAUUUUUAUCUUCCCUAUUUUUUUUGUAAAAUAUGAUUUUUUAGAGCAUAGAAGUGAGACUAAACCAAUUAUUUUUCCAAAGUCGUACAUCAAGAUAGGUAUGUGAUGAAGUUUACAUUCCUACUCAUAGGCAUAAAGUUGUCCUAAUUGUUGCGCAAGCUUGUUUUGGAGAAAAGUACAUCUACACAACUACUAUCAUUCCUUUUCUUUUAGUCAUUCUAGUAAUAAGCUUAUAUUUUUGCAAGGUCAUUUAGUAACAUUCUAUUAUACCAAUUUUCUAUUUAAUUACUCUAUAUGAGGUUAUAUCCUUUAUGGCAGUUUUUUGAAGUAAAGCAUUUUGGGUGUGAGAUCUUAGCAUCAAGCUUGAGGAAGUGUAAUUACACGUCUCCUUCUAAAUGAAAGGAGGCCAACCCAACCUUUUCCUCAUUCAGUGUAUGUUGAUGGCAAUGCUGUUGUAUUAAGGAAAGUCCAAUUUCAAAAUUUUGGGUUUAAAAAUUCUACCAUCUUGAUUUUCGUUUAACCCCCUGCUCUCCUAUCUCGAUGGCCUAAAUUGAACUUGCCUUCUAUUUCACGACCCUCUACUCUUGUGGUUACCAAUUCUUGCAACAAUUCUUCAUUUUGGGCCAUGAGCUCUUGUUGUUUAGCCUUGUGUGCAAUUCUCUCUCUUUCUUCAUCAGCUCUGUCCCUAGCUUUUUUAUACAUGGCCAAGAAGGAUUCAAAUUGCUAAAAAUCCCCCAUAUCCGCUAGCUCUGAUACCAAUUUGUUACAAGUCUAUUCUAUGAUCUGGUUAUGGGUCUUUGCAAAAUUAAAUUUGCAUGAUUUCAGUCUGCAAUUUGUGUUUCUGGGAAUUCCUACUUUUCUCACCUAUUUUGAAAGUAAAUGGUUAAGAGCUAGUUAAUGAGAGAACACGAUGAUUUCUAAGUUAUAAGGAAACUUAACCUUGUGAUAAUUCUGAUUUGCUUCUUUCCAAUCAUAAUCAAAAUUUAAUAAUACACUCAACACAAAAACUAACUUGAUAACUGUCUCCCACUAAGGAAACUACAAUACAAUCAAAGCAACACAGGAAAAGAAACUACCCCACAAUUUAAGCAACAUAAAAGAGGAAAACCAAAGAAAAUAUCACACACCCGCUACUUUUAAAGGAAAGGAAACUAACACACAUUCUUAACUCGUAACAACUCCUUUCUGAAAUCUAAAAUUUAGCAUUAUGGGAGAAAGGCAAACAACAAAGGUAAACGGCACAUGACAGGGGAACUUGGGAAGAACUAAGAUUCUUAAUCUUAUAUUUAGUAAAACUAGUGAAUGACAUAGAAAAUUCACUUAUUUUUUAUUUGAAUGUCUUAUAUUUCCAUCUAACGUCUAGUAGUAGCGCAACUUUAUCAAGAGACACAAUGUAAAAAGCUCUUAAUGAACUAGGCAAAAAAUUCAGGGAAUAUGAUAUAUCAAUGCCACUGAUUAUGACAUGUGAAAAAAAAAAUGUAAAGUUGAUGAAAUAAGUAAAAGUAUGAAUCAGAAGUGAUGAUAAAUAAUACACAAUUAUUUAAAGAAUAUAUCCCACUAAGGUGCGAAAUGGUCUUGAAGCCAAGUCACAAGUGAGAGCAAUGGCAUGCCUUGAAGAGGCACAAGAGAAAUAAAAUUUCCUAGAACAUUCAAGAUUAAUUAUCACCAUACAUUCAUAAGACAACUAAACUGCAGGUACUUUCUUCUUUUGAAUUUAACAAGCAUGUGUUCCAUCUUGGAUCUCUAUUGAAUUAUUAAUUCUAGAAUUGCUAAAAUACAUGAACGCUUUCCUAAUUUUCCUUGAGUUUUCACUUUAUAAGAAGUAAUUAUAGAGUGCAAACAAUGACUAUUAUAAUUGUAAGUGCAAGCACAACCACACUCAAAUAAUUUGGAUGUUUAAGCUAGAAAUCAUUCAUGAUAGAAUUCAUCACAAAAAGUAUGAUAAGCUGGAGUAGAACAUUGAGAUAGUUAAAAAUGAAUAUUUGAAGGUUAUAGCACAGAUCCUGUCAUAAUGAAACUUACUGGUGGAGUGAAUCCAGAUAAUGUUUGGGUGUGGGAUAGCAAAAAAUUGCCUACUUUAACUGGGCAGGAUAUCUCCUCACAAAGAUCAUGGGUUUCUUUAUGGACAAGCACAGAAAAAUAAGAAACAUAAAUAUCUACCUUCCCACCACUGAUAGAUUUACCAGUAGAAGCUGAGAUAUUGAAGGUAGCUGGGUUGCCUGGCACUACAGGAUCAGGUGAUAUCUCAACUCCAUGGAUCUUUACAUCAUAGUUACCUUUAUUAUCACAGUACUUGACAAUAGUGGCUUGAAUUGAGGGUAAGAGCAGAUGAAUAGCAAAGAGAAGCAAAAGGGUUUGCUUCAACUGAGAAGAUGAUACAGCGUCCAUGGAUACUUUGCUAAGUUCCUUGCUUCUCAGAGACACAGGACUGAUGGAACCCUCGAGAAAUCAAUAAAACGAAGAUUAGUU
rnacentral:misc_RNA from 1 species